rnacentral:rRNA from 1 species
UACGAAGGGGGCUAGCGUUGUUCGGAAUUACUGGGCGUAAAGCGCACGUAGGCGGAUAUUUAAGUGAGGGGUGAAAUCCCAGGGCUCAACCCUGGAACUGCCUCUCAUACUGGGUAUCUCGAGUUCGAGAGAGGUGAGUGGAAUUGCGGGUGUAGAGGUGAAAUUCGUAGAUAUUCGCAGGAACACCCAUGGCGAAGGCAGCUCGCUGGCCCGUGACUGACGCUGAGGCGCGAAAGCGUCGGGAGCAAACAGG